rnacentral:rRNA from 1 species
UACGUAGGGGGCAAGCGUUGUCCGGAUUUAUUGGGCGUAAAGAGCGUGUAGGCGGUUCGGUAGGUCCGUUGUGAAAACUCGAGGCUCAACCUCGAGACGCCGAUGGAAACCCUCGAACUAGAGUCCGGAAGAGGAGAAUGGAAUUCCUGGUGUAGCGGUGAAAUGCGCAGAUAUCAGGAGGAACACCGGUGGCGAAGGCGGGUCUCUGGGCAGUAACUGACGCUGAGGAGCGAAAGCGUGGGGAGCGAACAGG